GACAUAAAAGAUAAGGUAAAAAGGCUAAAAUAUGUGGUAAAAUCACCCAACAUCAGUUUACGACAUUAUGGGCGAAACAACUCUUUUAUCCCCUUUCGAGGAAUUUGGGUUAUGUAAUUGGAAGAGUCGCCACCUAAUGAUUAUAGUGCAUUAGGACAUUUUUAAAGAAGAGAAGAUUUUGAAAGAUAAACCAGAGUUCGGGUAAGGGCUUGAGAUUAUCUUGAGGUGAGGGUUUUAGGCACCCCUCAAGAUUCACUAGUGCGGUUCACGGUCGUGCUUAAGUG
rnacentral:lncRNA from 1 species